rnacentral:lncRNA from 1 species
CCCACUUCUCUCCACCCUAACCGCCACCACCACCACCACCCAAUCACCCCCCCAACCUCCACCAACAGAAUUCUUGUAGAACUCUCACUCUCUCUCGAGUGUCUCUCCGCAUCCGAGCGAAUGGCGUUGCUGUUAGGGAGGACGCUUGUGUCGGAUGAGGACAGGGAUGCUGAGAUGAGAUGGAAGCUUGAAAGGAGGCCAUCAACAGGUCCCCACAGCAUGGAAUGCCCUACACAACUUGGUCAAAUGGCUACUUUAUUUCGAUGUCUCUGACACGACUUUUGGAUAUAUAUAUACAUACAUACAUAUAUAAAAAUAUAUAUAUAUACAUAUAUAUAUAUACAUAUAAUCACACACCCACCUUCAACAGAACACACUCACAUAUAUAUGUAUACAUACAUGCCUACCUGUAUUUAUAUAUAUAUAUCAACAUACACACACACAUAUACAUACAUAUACAUGUCUAUAUAUUUACAUACAUGCAAACACAAAAACAUACCUAUAUACCGAAAAACUUACAUGCACACAGGCAUAUCGAGACAUACAAUACAUGUAUAUAUAUGGAUAUAUAUACACAUGUUAUUAUACAUCAUAGACACUUACACAUAUACACACGUGGCAAAGAGACCCCAGAAAUUUCAGACAGACAUACAGCCAAUUCAGUGACAUAAAUACACACUAAUUACUACACACACACACAUAUAUAUAUAUAUACACACUUACAGAAAUAUUCCUAAGCCCUCCCACACAACUUUUUAUAUAUAUAUACAUAUAUAUAUAAAUAUAAUAUUAUAUAAUAUAUAUAUAUAUAUAUAUAAAUAUCUGCGGUGUGAGUGUUAUCAUUUAUACAUAUAUAUCUAUCUUUCCAUAUAUACAUAUAUAUAAACAUAUAUAUAUAUAUAUAUAUAUAGACAUAGAUAUAUAUAAAUAUAUAUAUAUAUAUACACAUACAUAUAUAUGUAUAUGUAUGCGUAUGUAUAACUCUGCAACAGAAUCUUAACACAGACCACGCACAAAUACAUACAUAAUACAUAGGCACACACAAACACACACGCGCAUCUGUAUGUAUGUAUAUACAUAUAUUUAUAGAUAUAUAUACACUCACUCACUUACUACGGAGAGGUAACAGCAGUAAUAAAAGGGUUUUUUAGUUGUUUGAUGUUCAUGGAGCUUUUAAACAAUGAGGAAGAUAUUGGAGCUGUCUUGAAUAACCAGG